UACAGAGGUCUCAAGCGUUGUUCGGAUUCAUUGGGCGUAAAGGGUGUGUAGGUGGCGCCGUAAGUCGGGUGUGAAAUUUCGGAGCUUAACUCCGAAACUGCAUUCGAUACUGCGGUGCUUGAGGACUGGAGAGGAGACUGGAAUUUACGGUGUAGCAGUGAAAUGCGUAGAUAGUCGUAAGGAAGACCAGUGGCGAAGGCGGGUCUCUGGACAGUUCCUGACACUGAGGCACGAAGGCCAGGGGAGCAAACGGG
rnacentral:rRNA from 1 species